UACGUAGGGUGCAAGCGUUAAUCGGAAUUACUGGGCGUAAAGCGUGCGCAGGCGGUUUGUAAGUUUGUCGUGAAAUCCCCGGGCUCAACCUGGGAAUGGCGAUGAAGACUGCAAGGCUGAGGAAUCUGGCAGAGGGGGGUAGAAUUCCACGUGAUAGCAGUGAAAUGCGUAGAUAUGCGGAGGAACACCGAUGGCGAAGGCAAUCCCCUGGACCUGGUACUGAACGCUCAUGCACGAAAGGCGUGGGGAG
rnacentral:rRNA from 1 species